rnacentral:tRNA from 1 species
GGGUGGUUAGCUCAGUUGGGAGAGCAUCGGCCUUACAAGCCGAGGGUCGCAGGUUCGAUCCCUGCACCACCCACCA